rnacentral:rRNA from 1 species
UACGGAGGGUGCGAGCGUUGUCCGGAAUCAUUGGGCGUAAAGGGCGCGUAGGUGGCCCCUCAAGCGUGCGGUGAAAGUCAGGGGCUCAACCCCUGAUCGGCCGUGCGAACUGGGGAGCUUGAGCACUGUAGAGGCAGGCGGAAUUCCGGGUGUAGCGGUGGAAUGCGUAGAUAUCGAGAGGAACACCAGUGGCGAAGGCGAGUCCCUGGACAGGUCCUGACGCUGAGACACGAAAGCUAGGGGAGCAAACAGG